rnacentral:rRNA from 1 species
UUGCCUUAGUAACGGCGAGUGAAGCGGCAACAGCUCAAAUUUGAAAUCUGGCCCUCGGGUCCGAAUUGUAAUUUGUAGAGGAUGAUUUUGGUGCGGUAUCUUCCGAGUUCCUUGGAACAGGACGCCUUAGAGGGUGAGAGCCCCGUACGGUUGAAUGCCUAGCCUCUGUAAAUCUCCUUCGACGAGUCGAGUAGUUUGGGAAUGCUGCUCUAAAUGGGAGGUAAAUUUCUUCUAAAGCUAAAUAUUGGCCAGAGACCGAUAGCGCACAAGUAGAGUGAUCGAAAGAUGAAAAGCACUUUGAAAAGAGGGUUAAAUAGCACGUGAAAUUGUUGAAAGGGAAGGAUUUGUGACCAGACUUUUUCUGGGCGGAUCAUCCGGGGUUCUCUCCGGUGCACUUUGCCCAGUAAAGGCCAGCAUCGAUUUUCGGCGGCGGAUAAAAGCAGUGGGAAUGUGGCUCCCUACGGGGAGUGUUAUAGCCCAUUGUAUAAUACGCUGCUGGGGAUCGAGGUACGCGCUUCUGCAAGGAUGCUGGCGUAAUGGUUAUCAAUCACCCGUCUUGAAACACGGACCAAGGAGUCGAACAUUUAUGCGAGUGUUUGGGUGUUAAACCCUCACGCGUAAUGAAAGUGAACGGAGGUGAGAGCCCGUACGGGUGCAUCAUCGACCGAUCCUGAAGUUUUCGGAUGGAUUUGAGUAAGAGCAUAACUGUUCGGACCCGAAAGAUGGUGAACUAUGCGUGGAUAGGGUGAAGCCAGAGGAAACUCUGGUGGAGGCUCGCAGCGGUUCUGACGUGCAAAUCGAUCGUCAAAUCUGCGCAUGGGGGCGAAAGACUAAUCG